AAGACAUGUUGUGGGCACUUCUACAGAAGGUUCUUGAAUCAUUCCCAAGUCUCAAACAAAGUUUCAAGCUCUAUCUGAACAAAUGAAGAUAUCUCAUUAUGAAUCUU